rnacentral:rRNA from 1 species
GACGAACGCUGGCGGCGUGCCUAAUACAUGCAAGUCGAACGAACUCUGGUAUUGAUUGGUGCUUGCAUCAUGAUUUACAUUUGAGUGAGUGGCGAACUGGUGAGUAACACGUGGGAAACCUGCCCAGAAGCGGGGGAUAACACCUGGAAACAGAUGCUAAUACCGCAUAACAACUUGGACCGCAUGGUCCGAGUUUGAAAGAUGGCUUCGGCUAUCACUUUUGGAUGGUCCCGCGGCGUAUUAGCUAGAUGGUGAGGUAACGGCUCACCAUGGCAAUGAUACGUAGCCGACCUGAGAGGGUAAUCGGCCACAUUGGGACUGAGACACGGCCCAAACUCCUACGGGAGGCAGCAGUAGGGAAUCUUCCACAAUGGACGAAAGUCUGAUGGAGCAACGCCGCGUGAGUGAAGAAGGGUUUCGGCUCGUAAAACUCUGUUGUUAAAGAAGAACAUAUCUGAGAGUAACUGUUCAGGUAUUGACGGUAUUUAACCAGAAAGCCACGGCUAACUACGUGCCAGCAGCCGCGGUAAUACGUAGGUGGCAAGCGUUGUCCGGAUUUAUUGGGCGUAAAGCGAGCGCAGGCGGUUUUUUAAGUCUGAUGUGAAAGCCUUCGGCUCAACCGAAGAAGUGCAUCGGAAACUGGGAAACUUGAGUGCAGAAGAGGACAGUGGAACUCCAUGUGUAGCGGUGAAAUGCGUAGAUAUAUGGAAGAACACCAGUGGCGAAGGCGGCUGUCUGGUCUGUAACUGACGCUGAGGCUCGAAAGUAUGGGUAGCAAACAGGAUUAGAUACCCUGGUAGUCCAUACCGUAAACGAUGAAUGCUAAGUGUUGGAGGGUCUCCGCCCUUCAGUGCUGCAGCUAACGCAUUAAGCAUUCCGCCUGGGGAGUACGGCCGCAAGGCUGAAACUCAAAGGAAUUGACGGGGGCCCGCACAAGCGGUGGAGCAUGUGGUUUAAUUCGAAGCUACGCGAAGAACCUUACCAGGUCUUGACAUACUAUGCAAAUCUAAGAGAUUAGACGUUCCCUUCGGGGACAUGGAUACAGGUGGUGCAUGGUUGUCGUCAGCUCGUGUCGUGAGAUGUUGGGUUAAGUCCCGCAACGAGCGCAACCCUUAUUAUCAGUUGCCAGCAUUAAGUUGGGCACUCUGGUGAGACUGCCGGUGACAAACCGGAGGAAGGUGGGGAUGACGUCAAAUCAUCAUGCCCCUUAUGACCUGGGCUACACACGUGCUACAAUGGAUGGUACAACGAGUUGCGAACUCGCGAGAGUAAGCUAAUCUCUUAAAGCCAUUCUCAGUUCGGAUUGUAGGCUGCAACUCGCCUACAUGAAGUCGGAAUCGCUAGUAAUCGCGGAUCAGCAUGCCGCGGUGAAUACGUUCCCGGGCCUUGUACACACCGCCCGUCACACCAUGAGAGUUUGUAACACCCAAAGUCGGUGGGGUAACCUUUUAGGAACCAGCCGCCUAAGGUGGGACAGAUGAUUAGGGUG